CCUCCUUUCUUCCUCCUUGCGGCAUCUUGGUCAAUGGGCGCAAGCCUGAACCAGCCAAGUCGCGUGAGGGAAGACGGCCCUACGGGUUGUAAACCUCUUUUGCCGGGGAGCAAGCCUGAGCACGUGUGCCCAGGCGGAGAGUACCCGGAGAAAAAGCAUCGGCUAACUCCGUGCCAGCAGCCGCGGUAAUACGGAGGAUGCGAGCGUUAUCCGGAUUUAUUGGGUUUAAGGGGUGCGCAGGCGGGCUGUUAAGCCGGCGGUAAAAAUUCAGGGCUCAACCCUGUCGAGCCGUCGGAACUGGCAGGCUUGAGUGGGCGAGAGGUAUGCGGAAUGCGUGGUGUAGCGGUGAAAUGCAUAGAUAUCACGCAGAACGCCGAUUGCGAAGGCAGCAUACCGGCGCCCAACUGACGCUGAGGCACGAAAGCGUGGGGAUCGAACAGGAUUAGAUACCCCUGUAGUC
rnacentral:rRNA from 1 species